rnacentral:rRNA from 1 species
AAACGUGGGUCUAAUACCGGAUAGGACGAUGGUUUGGAUGCCAUUGUGGAAAGUUUUUUCGGUGUGGGAUGAGCUCGCGGCCUAUCAGCUUGUUGGUGGGGUAAUGGCCUACCAAGGCGUCGACGGGUAGCCGGCCUGAGAGGGUGUACGGCCACAUUGGGACUGAGAUACGGCCCAG